GACGAACGCUGGCGGCGUGCUUAACACAUGCAAGUCGAGCGGAAAGGCCACUUCGGUGUUACUCGAGCGGCGAACGGGUGAGUAACACGUGAGUAAUCUGCCCCUCACUUUGGGAUAGCCACCGGAAACGGUGAUUAAUACCGGAUAUGAACAUAUGUCGCAUGGCGUGUGGUGGAAAGUUUGUCGGUGAGGGAUGUGCUCGCGGCCUAUCAGCUUGAUGGUGAGGUAAUGGCUCACCAUGGCUUCGACGGGUAGCCGGCCUGAGAGGGUGACCGGUCACACUGGGACUGAGACACGGCACAGACUACUACGGGAGGCAGCAGUGGGGAAUAUUGGACAAUGGGCGGAAGCCUGAUCCAGCAACGCCGCGUGAGGGAUGACGGCCUUCGGGUUGUAAACCUCUUUCAGUACCGACGAAGCGCAAGUGACGGUAGGUACAGAAGAAGCACCGGCCAACUACGUG
rnacentral:rRNA from 1 species